rnacentral:rRNA from 1 species
AACGAACGCUGGCGGCAGGCUUAACACAUGCAAGUCGAGCGCCCCGCAAGGGGAGCGGCAGACGGGUGAGUAACACGUGGGAACAUACCCUUUACUACGGAACAACUCCGGGAAACUGGAGCUAAUACCGUAUGUGCCCUUCGGGGGAAAGAUUUAUCGGUAAAGGAUUGGCCCGCGUUGGAUUAGCUAGUUGGUGGGGUAAAGGCCUACCAAGGCGACGAUCCAUAGCUGGUCUGAGAGGAUGAUCAGCCACAUUGGGACUGAGACACGGCCCAAACUCCUACGGGAGGCAGCAGUGGGGAAUAUUGGACAAUGGGCGCAAGCCUGAUCCAGCCAUGCCGCGUGAGUGAUGAAGGCCUUAGGGUUGUAAAGCUCUUUCACCGAUGAAGAUAAUGACGGUAGUCGGAGAAGAAGCCCCGGCUAACUUCGUGCCAGCCGCCGCCGUAACAC